ensembl:lncRNA
UGGUCCAGAGGCAAUGACACAAAAGAACCUGGUUUCCAAAGUUAUUUAUUAAAUGUAAAUUCUUUCCUUAGAUACUGUACCAAAUUUGUACACAUCAUUCUUAACCCUGGUGAACUUUCUUUGGCUUUCUCUGCCUACCAUUUGUCAUCAAUUACCUUUUCAAAAACAUUUUGCAUUAUUAAUUCCUGUUACAUUCAUUCAGCAAAUAUUUAUUGAGUGCCUUUUGAAGUCCUUUGCUAAGUACUCAAAAGGAAAAGCGGGUAUAUAGGACACAGAUGAAUUUAAACUCAGUGUUCAUGCAAUUGGUAGCAUUUCUGCAAAGAGUAAUCUCAUUGCCUGAAUGGUGUGCAGCAUGUGAAGUACGAUUUGCUGCAAACUUACUCGACCACUUACUUUUUGGCUGAUCAUCCUGAGGGACAUUCUUGAAGUCAAAGCUUUCCAACUGGUGAGCAGAAAACAGGUUAACACACAGGUCACGAUGUUCAUGCUGUCAAGAUGUUCACCAGAUAAUUUCCACGUCAGAACAUGUCCAGUAGAUGCCAACGAACUUGGUUACUUACAGAAGAAAGAUGCCCCCUUGCUCCCCACAGAGCAUCUCUAGAUAACAGGGAGCUGGCUGAUACCUUUUUCUGUUUUGCUAAUGUAUUUUUCAAGACCACAUUUUCUUGGAUUGUAAGGGAUUCCUAGGGCACCAUGUUAAGAAGAGAGAUUUUCAGAGUACUAGGUAACUUCAGAGUUUUAUACUGGCUUUUACCCACUGGAAAUUACUAAUUGACUAGUGAUGAUUCUUAAGAAGCAGGCAACAGCAUCUGCUGUUACUGCUAAGUUGUAGAUGUAAGGCUUAGAAUCAGGGAUCAUGAAUUACUAACUGGUUUGCACCAGUAGGGGGUUUCUUUGGUGGCUCAGACGGUAAAGAAUCCGUCUGCAAUGCAUGAGACACAGGUUCAAUCCUUGGGUCGGGAAUAUCCCCUGGAGAAGGAAAUGGCUACCCACUCCAGUAUUCUUGCCUGGAAAACCCCAUCGACAGAGGAGCCUGUUGGGCUACAGUUCAUGGUGUCACAAAGAGUCGGACAUGACUGAGCAACUAACCCACACUUUUUGCGUCAGUAGGAUUUUGCAAAUAUCUCAGGCAUUAGCAAAACCAAUUUAAAAUAUAUUUAUAUUUGAAGAAAGCUUGGCUGGUGAGGUAAUAGACAUGACUAGACUAGGACUUCUAGUUAAAUGUAAAAAUACAUUUCCAUUUUUUAAUUAAUUGCUUGC